GCGGGGCUUGGGCCCAGCGCGGGACUGGGGCGGGUUGGGGCGCCUCGCGGCUGCAACGCUGGCGCGGCUCGGGAACGAGUCCCAAGCGGAGGAAUCUAUUGUUAUUUAUUGUGUGGCAGCUGCACGCUGUGCUCGCGGCCCGGCCCUCGCCCGCGAGUGCGUGUGUGUGUGUGUGUGUGUGUGCGCGCGCGUGUGCGCGGGUGAGUGUGUGAGCGGGGGGCGCGCGCGGGCGGGAGUGGGCGCGCGCGGGGAAAGGCCCCGAAAACACCUUAGUUUGCACCGAGAGACCAUUUGCCGCGGACCCAGAAAGUUUGCCCCAAGAGGACGGCGCACGGCGGGCGAACGAACGGGAGAGGGGCAGCACGGGAGAGGGGCAGCGGCGGCGCGGAGAAGCGUGGAGCUGCCGGCGCCUCCUCCCUGGACUCGGUGGUGUCCCAGGAGCUUCUGCUGACAAUCCCAGUUUCCGAGGGAACCCUUUCGGCCAUGGUGAGGGCUGCGCUCCCUUCUCUGACUUGCCUUCAGCCAUGAACGGAUGGGUGUGAUGCCUGCUAGCCGAAAGGG